ACAACCAUAUGAGAUAGCCCUCCAGAGGAAGUUUUUUCAUUGCAACUAGUGUCAACUAAAUUAGCAGAGCAGCAGCUUUCGAACAAACAGUGAUCUUCAAAUUUGGCUAAAGGCCCUUACAACAACUGAAAAUCGAUGACUAACACGGUACUGCUCCGGUACCAAGUGUUAUAUAUAGCUCAGGGCAACCCAGAGAUGGAAAACUGCAAAACCCAUCAAAGUUAUUCAUAUUCAAGCGCCACACUGGCGCUUGAUUACAGAGAUGAUUACAGCGACACACAACAGCUUCUUACAUGACACAUUAACGAAAGAAAACAAUCCAAAAUUGUAGUUUUUCACGAAAAUCUGAACAUCAUUGGACAGAGAACUGCUCAUUCCUGCAACCACAAAGAAGCUGGAUUCAACCAGAGAUCUCAAUGGCCUUGACCUCAGGCUUCUUCUCCUCCACCUUGGGAAUAGUGAUGGUGAGCACCCCGUUCUCCAUCGAGGCCUUCACCUGAUCCAUCUUCGCAUUCUCGGGCAGCCUGAACCUCCUCAUGAACUUCCCGCUGCUUCUCUCCACCCGGUGCCAGGUGUCGUUCUUGUCCUCCUUCUCCACGUUCCUCUCGCCGCUUAUCUGGACCACCCGAUCGUCUUCAAUUUCGACCUUGACUUCCUCCUUCUUGAGCCCGGGAAGAUCAGCCUUGAACACGUGGGCUUCCGGGGUCUCCUUCCAGUCGAUCCUCGUGUUGACAAAAGCGGUGUUCUCCCGGAAAGUUUGAGGGAAAUUAGAGGCGGAGAGGGAGGAGGAAGGGAAAGGGAAGUCCUUGAAGGGGUCCCAGAGGUCGAGCGAGAAGGGGUCGUAGACGUUGCUGCGACGGCCGCCGAACCAACUUGGGAUGAGCGACAUCGUACCUGCUUCUGCUGCAGCUAUUAGAUGAUUCAAAUACGUUUGGUGAUUGAUCGUCGGACUGGCGCUCUCUCUUGCUGAUGCUUUCGCUUUCUUGAAGCGUGGAGGAAGGAACGGACAUGCCCGGUAUUUAUAGGAGGGAAGAAGAGAUAAGGAUCGAACGAUGGAAGUUUCGGUUAAAGAUAGAGAGAGAUCUAGAAAGAUCUGGUCUCGCCAAGAUAGAUCUCUCUCGAAACUGGGCCAUCCUCUCGUGAAACUUCUGGUCUUGGAAGUGUUGAGAUGUCUCGAGACAGGCCCAUAACUAUUGUUUGACCGGCUUGGUUUGUUCGACCCGGGUCGCAAUUUCCCACGGAAGACCAUAGGGAAAGUUCAUCUCGUGGNNNNNNNNNNNNNNNNNNNNNNNNNNNNNNNNNNNNNNNNNNNNNNNNNNNNNNNNNNNNNNNNNNNNNNNNNNNNNNNNNNNNNNNNNNNNNNNNNNNNAAAAUAGAAUGAAGUAUUCAUAGAAAGAAUUGUGAAGCUGCAUAUAAUGAGGAAUUAUGCCAGCAUAACAGUCUGUCAUUUACUGAGUAAAUUAUGGAUUGAUUUCUAUUGUAUGCUGGACAUUUUGCGCUUCUCUCUCCUCCAUAUGCACAGAGAGAUUAUUAUAAAAUCCAACUAGCGUAACUUACAAGAUAAAAUAUUCGAUUAAUCUAAAAAAUGGGUCAAUUUGCAUAAACAUUUAGACAACGUUUGAUUGUUCGAAUUUCUAACAAUAAUAAAACUGUAUAUGAUAUGAUAUGAAAUCCAUGAGAUUUUGUUAUAUCUUAUCCAUUAUUUGGUGAUUACAAUAAUAAAGUCGGAUAUAUUUACAUCAUAUUAUAUAUAUUGCUCAGUAUAAAUUCUUAUAUGAAUCACAAAUUUUUACAAACGAUAAUGGUAAAAAUCUAUCACGACACUCUUAUCUACUUUAUUCUUAUUUUCAUUUUUAUUUUAUUUUCUUCUCUUUUUUUAAUUUAUUUCUUUUUUAGUUCUUUCUUCCCCUUCCAUUAUUUUCGAAUAAACUUUUAUUAUAUAGAAAAUUGUACUAAUAUAACUAAUAUGCUAAAACGCCUAAAAUAUGUAAUAAAUAUAUAUUUAUAUAUUGAAUUUAUAUUAUAAGAUAGAAUAAAUUCAUCUUGAGAAAUAAAAAUAAGAUUAAACUAAAAACAAUGUAUUUAGGAGUUUAUGUAUGUAUGUACGUGCUUCAAUAGCUUUAGUUGCGACUCAACCCCACCCUCCCUCUUUUAAAAUGUGUCUUUAUAGUUUGAAGUUAUGCUGGAGUUAUCUACGGACGUAACAAUCCAUAGUUUGAUGAAUAUACAUUGAUAACAUGCAAAAGAAAGUUCUAAUUUUUUUUCUUAAUUUAUUUAAUAAAUAUGAUUGUUCACAUUUUUGCUUAUUUUAACAAUAAAUAGAAUGGGCCUAAAUCAUAGAGUACUUAGUUUCAAUGCCAGAUGCAAUACGGUAAAAUUGUUUAUAAAAAACAUGAAAGUGUAGGUAUAAAGCAUCCAUUGGUCCCAAACGUAUUGGCUUAUUCAAAUUAAAAGUUAAAAAUGUUUCCGACGGAUUAUGUUUAGUUUAAGUUUAGAUUUAGGUUUCUCUCAUAAAUUUAUAUCGUACUUGAGUAGUGAUCUCGUGUCAAGAACNNNNNNNNNNNNNNNNNNNNNNNNNNNNNNNNNNNNNNNNNNNNNNNNNNNNNNNNNNNNNNNNNNNNNNNNNNNNNNNNNNNNNNNNNNNNNNNNNNNNUAUCACACAGCAAUUUGGUUUUUCUUUUUUCCCUUUGACAUCAAUUUUAAAAUUGGGAGAGAUUAGUGAAUUUUUUUUUAAACUUUGAAAAAGUUGAAAGUUCGCAAAUCAGUAUAUUAUAUGUGUGUUUGAUAUUUAAUUGUCUUCUUACAUGAAUUCUUAAAUAUGUAAUAUUUAUACUAUUUUAUUUUUAUGUACCACCUAAAAAAUUGCAAUUCAACUACCCAUCGUUUAUUUUUCCCUUGUGAUAAGGUCGUUUGUUUGUACCUUAAGGUUACGUUUGGUCGUCCGAAUUUCUAAUCGGAAUAGGACUGGAUAUGAUAGGAUAUGAAAUCAUGAGAUUUUUUUUAUAUCAUAUUCAUUAUUUGAUUAAUCGUAGCAUUAAAGUGGGAUAUAUUCAUAUCAUAUCAUGUACUUUUUUUUAUAUAUAAAUAGUAUAUCAUUAUGAACAUAAAUGUUUUUUUUUUUUUGGUAACUUAGGGAACACCGUAAGCCGACAGCUGGCGAGAAAACCUUGAGGACCGGUUGCAAGACCCACCACCACAGUACUCCAGAUAAGAAUCUCUAACGACGCCUCUGUGAUUCGAACUUUUCCCAUUCGUGAGGGGGAGAGAGCCCGAGCCAGUUGUGCCACUGAUGGCGAUGGUAUUAUGAACAUUAUGUUCAUAAACGGAAAUGGUGAAAAUCUCUCGUAACACUAUUUCUUAAUUUAUUUUUCCUCUUUUUUAUAUUAUUUUCUUUAUUAUUUCUUUUUCCCCUUUCAUCAUUCUUAAUAAAAUAGUAAACUGUACUAACAUACCUAAAAUACCAAAAAUAUAUAACAAUAAUAAAUAUUUAAUUUAUAGAUUGAAUGUUUAUUAUAAGAUAAAAUUAAAGUUGAAUAUAUAAAUUAAAAAAGAUUGAUUAAAAAUAAAUUUUUAUUUUUUAUUUUAAAUAUAUUAAAUUAGAAUUCAAAUAUUAUAUAUAUUGAAAUAUAAUUUCAAUUUUGUUAAUUUAAUAAGUUUAUUAUUCGAGAAAAAUAAUUUUCCUAUUAUGGACAUUAAAAUCUCAUCCAUCUUUGUCCCACCUCCUCCGUGAAGUAAUUUUAUUCUGCAUAUAUCCCAUUUAUAUCCGACUUUAUCACGACUGCCAAAUGCAGCCUCAAAUAUAAAAUUGAGGAAGUUAUUCUUUUCAACGAAAUUGAGAAUGCGAUGGCUCGUCACAUUAACUGAAGUAAAAGUAAUGAUGCCAUCUUUGCCAUUAAAUUUUCCCUUGAAAACUGAUUAACUUGAUUAUCUUCAAAGGGAAAUGAGUUUUGUUAUGUAUUGGAAAUGGCAGCAUGGAUUUUCACUCAGCCGAAAGAAAGAAAGGAAAGAAAAGCAAAAAAAGAGUAGCUAAGUGGGUUUCCCUCCCCAUAACUCCUACAAAAGAUGCAGACAGAAUAGCUUGAGCUAUGUACUGCACGAACAGUCCACAUUAAGAGAGGCGGUACAACUACACAGAGAUCAUGUUUUAAACGCAAUGACUCCAUCAUGACGUUCAGAAACUUGUCAUCGAGCUUAAUCCAUCCCUUUCGAGUGCUGGGACUUGUGCGUGGUUCUGGUUCGUACAAUUUUGCCCACUUCUGCUGAUGCAGUUUCUCUUUUCCUUUUUCUAGAAUGGACAAUAUGGCAAAACUAAUAGUACACUGAUCGUGAUGGCACUCGAGGGUACCUCCUCUUCAUGUACUCCUUUUCUUGCUUGAUGUUUUUUCCUUUUCGCCCUAUGAUUUUGUGAACAGAAAAGCACCGUAAAUUAGCUGUCAAGGCUUUAUAAUUCGCUCCCGAUGAUGAAGAACCCCGUGGCAUUCUCCCUGGGGAAAGAGCACAGAUAUCAUAUUCUCCGGUUGGCCCCAGUCCGGACUCCUGCGCCUUCGUGUUCUGGCUCUCAAUGCUUGUGUAGUGGAUCUUGCACGCCAAGGUCGCAAGACCCAGAAUCAGCAACAUCACAGCCAGCCUCAUGUGGAAAUGCCGUACCCUUUUCGUACCGCAGUGGCAUACAUGGCCGCGUUCUAAUCGCCUUUUCGUUCUUCAAUAGUCAGCAAUUUAGGAUUAGGUCGCGGUUUCCCACUGUUGAAAUUGAAUUCACGACCAUCAAUUACNNNNNNNNNNNNNNNNNNNNNNNNNNNNNNNNNNNNNNNNNNNNNNNNNNNNNNNNNNNNNNNNNNNNNNNNNNNNNNNNNNNNNNNNNNNNNNNNNNNNNNNNNNNNNNNNNNNNNNNNNNNNNNNNNNNNNNNNNNNNNNNNNNNNNNNNNNNNNNNNNNNNNNNNNNNNNNNNNNNNNNNNNNNNNNNNNNNNNNNNNNNNNNNNNNNNNNNNNNNNNNNNNNNNNNNNNNNNNNNNNNNNNNNNNNNNNNNNNNNNNNNNNNNNNNNNNNNNNNNNNNNNNNNNNNNNNNNNNNNNNNNNNNNNNNNNNNNNNNNNNNNNNNNNNNNNNNNNNNCUCAUCUAUUCCUGAUCGGGCAAACCACAGAUUAGAUACUGCAAAACUCGAAACAGAUUAAUAGAUUAUUCAUAUUCAACGCCCGCCUUAUGGCCCGAGAAAACUACAAUAUAACAUCAUAAACAGAGAUGACACUUGGAUUACACAGUCACACAAACACCUACAAUUUCUUAUAUGACUCAUUACAGAAAGAACUCCAAAAUUACACUUAUUCACCGGACGCAAACAUUACCGGACACAAGAGCGAUCAUUCUUGAAAUUACAAGAAGCUUAAUUCAACCAGAGAUCUCAAUAGCCUUGACCUCAGGCUUCUUCUCCUCCACCUUCGGAACACUGACGGUGAGCACUCCAUUCUCCAUCGAGGCCUUCACCUGAUCCAACCUCGCAUUCUCGGGCAACCUGAACCUCCUCAUGAACUUGCCGCUGCUUCUCUCCACCCGGUGCCACGUAUCGUUCUUGUCCUCCUUCUCCACGUUCCUCUCGCCGCUUAUCUGGAGCACCCGAUCGUCUUCGAUCUGCACCUUGACUUCCUCUUUCUUGAGCCCAGGGAGAUCCGCCUUGAACACAUGGGCUUCUGGGGUCUCCUUCCAGUCGAUCCUCGUGUUCACAAAAGCAGUGUUUUCCCGGAAAGUUUGAGGGAAAUUAGAGGCGACGAGGGAAGAGGAAGGCAAAGGGAAGUCCUUGAAGGGAUCCCAGAGGUCAAGGGAGAAGGGGUCGAAGACGUUGCUGCGACGGCCGCCGAACCAGCUUGGGAUGAGCGACAUUGUACCCUCCUGCUGCUGCUGCUGCUGCUGCUGCUGCUGCUGUUAGAUGAUUCAAGGACGUUUGGCGGUUGAUUGUUGUAAUGAUGCCCUCGCUUGCAAAUGCUCCUCUUUUCUUGAGUGACGAUGGAAGAUCGGAGAUGCCUGGUAUUUAAAGGUGAGAAGAACAGCUAAGGAUUGAAAAAUGGAAGUUUCUGUAAAAGAUUGCAGAAGCAUCUGGUCUCGCCCAGAGCUCUCUCGAAACCGGGCCUUGCUCUCCCGAAACUUCUGGUCUGUAAGUCUUGAGAUGUCUCGAGACAGGCCCAUAACUAUUGCUUGACCGGGUUGGACGAUGAUUAACCCAAUUAUCAGAAGCAACUGGAGCUAAAUUUCCAUGUCAGUCUCAUUAUAGUAUUUUAAAUAUGAAAUAAAAAAGAAUCAAAAAAUUAUAUGUGUGGUUGAUAUUUAAUUGACUUCCUUCAUAAAAUUAUUUAAUAUAAUAUAUAAAUAUAUAUAUAUAUAUAUAUAUAUAUCAAUAUCUAUUAAAGGUAUACAAAAGAAUCGGGAACCGUCCAAACUAUCCAGAACCGAAUUGGACCGGAUUGAAACUAGCGAUUCCCAAGGGAACUAAUAUAGUUUUUUGUUCUAAUUUAUUGGAAUUGGUGGAUAUCGAUUGGGUUCUCGAUUUUAAGUGUAGAAUCGUCCACCCGCCUACUCAAAUCGAAUCAGUAAUAUAGAAAUAUAUAUUUAAUUUUUAAGAAAAAUUUCUAACAAAUUAUUUAAGAAAAAUAAAAACCAUAAAAUCCCUAAUCUAAAGAUUAAUACCUAUUAACUAAGUGCUCAUCUCGUCUCACUCUCACCUCUUUUGAGUCGUCUUUCUAUCUCUCACUCAUGGCCUUGACUCUUAAUUUUUAAUAUAAGUCCAUUUUUUUUUUAUUCAUCUUGCAAUUAAGAAUAAGAAAGUUCUUUAUUUUUUGCUUAAAUUUGACUUGUUGGAAAAUGUUGCACCAACUGUGUGAAGCUUGUUUGGAACCCACCCGAGAACCAGAUCGGACCGAUGGUCCGAUUCUCUAUUUUAAUUUUUCAAAAUCGAUUUUUAGUGGGUAACUCCCGAUUCUAGGGGGAAAAUAAGAAAAUUAUCAAAAAAGUCUCAAACAUAUUGCAAUUAUAUUGAUUCAAUCACAAACUUAUUAUUUUGGUUAAUUGAAUCCUAAACUUUUUGCAAUUAUGUCAAUUCGAUUUUCUUUUACCAAAUUUGGUUGACUGGCUUUGAUGAACAAUUUUUUAAUUGUUUCUUCUUUCUUACCCUUUCUUUUUUUCUCUCUCUUUUUUUCUUCCUCCCCUUUCUUCCUCCUUUCGAUGACCUACCAAAUAGGAGCACCGAUUGAGGCACUACCUUUCUUCCUCCUUUCGAUGACCUACCAAAUAGGAGCACCGAUUGAGGCAACUAGCUAGUGGUGAACUCACCUCUCUGUUGUUGGGUGAGGGUGAGCUCGCCUAACUAGGCCCUCACUAGAUCUAGUGAGGGUGAGCUCGCCCAGUGACUAGGGAAGGCGAGCCUUGCUAGAUUUAGCGAGAGUGAGCCUCGCCAAUGGAUCGACAAGCUUGACCUCAUUGUCAUCAGGCUAGGGCAAACUCGCCCAACCACUGGGGAUCACCCUCUGGUCAAAGACGAGCUCGCCAAUGGAUCUGCUAGUGGAUUCUUGCUCUUCACUAGUUGGGGCUUUCGGAAAAAGUUGAAUGGAAUGGAUUAUCAGGACCCAUCCGAUUCCCCUCCCCUGAACUCCUGAUAACACCUGAUGGUUAUUAGAAUUGAACCCGCAGCCAUCAAUUACACGGUUUAGCUUAGUAGAGAAUGUGCGAGUGUUUGAAUGUGCGGUAAACGUCUGAGGUUGGUCGUGGGAUUUUGUAAACCACACCAAUCAAAUGCACCGUUGCUACAAUGAAAUCUGCAUUGCAUGACAUAUCCAACAACCAUAUGAGAUAGCCCUCCAGAGGAAGUUUGUUCAUUGCAACUAGUAUCAACUAAAUUAGAGCAGCAGCUUUCGAACAAACAGUGAUCUUCAGAUUUGGCUAAAGGCCAUUUCAGUAGAGACUCAACAACGACUGAAAAUCGAUGACUAACACGGUACUGCUCCGGUACCAUGUGUUAUAUAGCUCAAUCGAAUCCAGAACGGGGCAACCCAGAGAUGGAAUACUACAAAACCAUCAAAGUUAUUUAUAUUCAAGCGCCACACUAUGGCGCUUGAUUACAAAGAUGACACAUUGAUUACAGCGACACACAAGCUUCUUGCAUGACACAUUAACAAAAGAAAACAAUCCAAAAUUAUAGUUUUUCACGAAAAUCUGAACAUCAUUGGACAAAGAACCGCUCAUUCCUGCAACCACAAAGAAGCUGAAUUCAACCAGAGAUCUCAAUGGCCUUGACCUCAGGCUUCUUCUCCUCCACCUUGGGAACAGUGACGGUGAGUACCCCGUUCUCCAUCGAGGCCUUCACCUGAUCCAUCUUCGCAUUCUCGGGCAGCCUGAACCUCCUCAUGAACUUCCCGCUGCUUCUCUCCACCCGGUGCCAAGUGUCGUUCUUGUCCUCCUUCUCCACGUUCCUCUCGCCGCUUAUCUGGAGAACCCGAUCGUCUUCAAUUUCGACCUUGACUUCCUCCUUCUUGAGCCCGGGAAGAUCAGCCUUGAACACGUGGGCUUCCGGGGUCUCCUUCCAGUCGAUCCUCGUGUUGACAAAAGCGGUGUUCUCCCGGAAAGUUUGAGGGAAAUUAAAGGCGAAGAGGGAGGAGGAAGGGAAAGGGAAGUCCUUGAAGGGGUCCCAGAGGUCGAGAGAGAAGGGGUCGUAGACGUUGCUGCGACGGCCGCCGAACCAGCUUGGGAUGAGCGACAUCGUACCUGCUUCUGCUGCAGCUGUUAGAUGAUUCAAAGACGUUUGGUGAUUGAUCGUCGGACUGGCGCUCUCUCUUGCUGAUGCUUUCGUUUUCUUGAAGCGUGGAGGUAGGAACGGACAUGCCCGGUAUUUAUAGGAGGGAAGAAGAGAUAAGGAUCGAGCGAUGGAAGUUUCGGUUAAAGAUAGAGAGAGAUCUAGAAAGAUCUGGUCUCGCCAAGAUAGAUCUGUCUCGAAACUGGGCCAUCCUCUCGUGAAACUUCUGGUCUUGGAAGUGUGGAGAUGUCUCGAGACAGGCCCAUAACUAUUUUUUGACCGGCUUGGUUUGUUCGACCCGGGUCGCAAUUUCCCACGGAAGACCAUAGGGAAAGUUCAUCUCGUGGAAAAGAAGAUCAGGGGUUAGGAAACAGUCGUUUAGAAAAAGGAAUUUUCGCCGAUUUGGAAAUAUAAAAAUAGAAUGAAGUAUUCAUAGAAAGAAUUGUGAAGCUGUAUAUAAUGAGGAAUUAUGCCAGCAUAACGGUCCGUCAUUUACUGAGUAAAUUAUGGAUUGAUUUUUACUGUAUGCUGGACAUUUUGCGCUUCUCUCUCCUCCAUAUGCACAAAGAGAUUAUUAUAAAAUCCAACUAGCGUAACUUACAAGAUAAAAUACUUGAUUAAUCUAAAAAAUGGGUCAAAUUGCAUAAACAUUUAGAUUACGUUUGAUUGUUCGAAUUUCUAACAAUGAUAGAACUGGAUAUGAUAUGAUAUGAAAUCCAGAAAAUUUUGUUAUCUCUUAUCUACUGUUUGGUGAUUGUAAUAAUAAAGUCGGAUAUAUUUACAUCAUAUUAUAUAUAUUGCUCAGUAUAAAUUCUUAUAUGAAUCACAAAUUUUUACAAACGAAAAUGGUAAAAAUCUAUCGCGACACUCUUAUCUACUUUAUUCUUAUUUUCAUUUUUAUUUUAUUUGGUUCUCUUUUUUAAUUUAUUUCUUUUGUAGUUCUUUCUUCCCCUUCCAUUAUUUUCGAAUAAACUUUUAUUAUAUAAAAAAUUGUACUAAUAUAUCUAAAAUGCUAAAACGCCUAAAAUAUGUAAUAAAUAUAUAUUUAUAUAUUGAAUUUAUAUUAUAAGAUAGAAUUAAAUUCGUUUAUAGAAAUAAAAAUAAGAUUAAACUAAAAACAGUGUAUUUAGGAGUUUAUAUAUGUAUGUACGUGCUUCAAUAGCUUUAGUUGCGACUCAACCCCACCCUCCCUCUUUUAAAAUGUGUCUUUAUAGUUUGAAGUUAUGCUGGAGUUAUCUACGGACGUAACAAUCCAUAGUUUGAUGAAUAUACAUUGAUAACAUGCAAAAGAAAGUUCUAAUUUUUUUUCUUAAUUUAUUUAAUAAAUAUGAUUGUUCACAUUUUUGCUUAUUUUAACAAUAAAUAGAAUGGGCCUAAAUCAUAGAGUACUUAGUUUCAAUGGCAGACGGAAUACGGUAAAAUUGUUAAUAAAAAACAUGAAAGUGUAGGUAAUAAAGCAUCCAUUGGUCCCAAACGUACUGGCUUAUUCAAAUUAAAAGUUAAAAAUGGCUCCGACGGAUUAUGUUUAGUUUAAGUUUAGAUUCAAGUUUCUCUGAAUGAAUUUAUAUCGUACUGGAGUACUGAUCUCGUGUCAAGAACUGUUAUUUUACUCAUAUUCAUUCUACUCCCCAUAUCACACUGCAAUUUGGUUUUUCUUUUUUCCCUUUGACAUCAAUUUUAAAACUGGGAGAGAUUAGUGAAUUUUUUUUGAAACUUUGAAAAAGUUGAAAGUCCGCAAAUCAGUAUAUUACAUAUGUGUUUGAUAUUUAAUUGUCUUCUUACACGAAUUCUUAAAUAUGUAAUAUUUAUAAUAUUUUAUUUUUAUGUACCACCUAAAAAAUUUGCAGUUCAACUAGCCAUCGUUUAUUUUUCCCUUGUGAUAAGAUUGUUCGUUUGUAUCUUUAGGUUACAUUUGGUCGUCCUAAUUUCUAAUUUGAAUAGGACCGAAUAAGAUAGGAUAUGUUCCUUACCAAAAAAAUAAGAUAGGAUAUGAAAUCAUGAGAUUUUUUUAUAUCUUGUCCAUUGUUUGGUGAAUCGUAGUAUUAAAGUCAAGUAUAUUCACAUCAUAUCAUAUUAUAUAUAUAUAAACGGCAUAUCAUUAUAAAUGAACAUAAAUGUUCAUUAACAGAAAUAGUGAAAAUCUCUCGUAACACUAUUUCUUAAUUUAUUUUUAUUUUAUUUUUCCUCUUUUUUAUAUUAUUUUCUUUAUUAUUUCUUUUUCCCCUUUCAUCAUUCUUUAAUAAAAUUUAAUAAAAUAGUAAACUGUACUAACAUACCUAAAAUACAAAAAUACCAAAAAUAUAUAACAAUAAUAAAUAUUUAAUUUAUAAAUUGAAUGUUUAUUAUAAGAUAAAAUUAAAGUUGAAUAUAUAAAUUAAAAAAGAUUGAUUAAAAAUAGAAUUCACGACGAUCAAUUACACAUCAGAUGGACCUUUCUACUAUAAAUUAUACAAUGCACGACUUAGCCACCAACCAUAUGAGUGAAGUGGAACUUAAGAAUGGCGGAUCAGAUAGCCUCAAUGGAGAAGGCAAAUUUUGUUGAUUGCUAAUAGGGUGUCAACUCAAUCAGCCGACGACCGCAGCUUUCGAACCCACAUGAUAACCAAAUUUGGCCAAAACCCUCUCAGUUCAGACCCUCAACAUCAACCGUGAAUGAAUGACCAAGAGGGUACUGCUCCACACCACUUGUAAACAGCUCAAUCUAUUCCAGAUCAGGCAAAUCACAGAUGAGAUACUGCAAAAUUCGAGAAAGAUUAUUCAUAUUCAACGCCGCCUUAUGGCCCGAGAAAACUACAAUAUAACAUCAUAAACAGAGAUGACACUCUGAUUACACAGUCACAUAAACACCUACAAUUUCUUAUAUGACUCAUUACCGAAAGAACUCCGAAAUAACACUUGUUCACCGGACGCAAACAUUACCGGACACAAGAGCGAUCAUUCUUGAAAUUACAAGAAGCUUAAAUCAACCAGAGAUCUCAAUAGCCUUGACCUCAGGCUUCUUCUCCUCCACCUUCGGAACACUGACGGUGAGCACUCCAUUCUCCAUCGAGGCCUUCACCUGAUCCAACCUCGCAUUCUCGGGCAACCUGAACCUCCUCAUGAACUUGCCGCUGCUUCUCUCCACCCGGUGCCACGUAUCGUUCUUAUCCUCCUUCUCCACGUUCCUCUCGCCGCUUAUUUGGAUCACCCGAUCGUCUUCGAUCUCCACCUUGACUUCCUCUUUCUUGAGCCCAGGGAGAUCCGCCUUGAACACAUGGGCUUCUGGGGUCUCCUUCCAGUCGAUCCUCGUGUUCACAAAAGCAGUGUUUUCCCGGAAAGUUUGAGGGAAAUUAGAGGCGACGAGGGAAGAGGAAGGCAAAGUGAAGUCCUUGAAGGGAUCCCAGAGGUCAAGGGAGAAGGGGUCGAAGACGUUGCUGCGACGGCCGCCGAACCAGCUUGGGAUGAGCGACAUUGUACCCUCCUGCUGCUGCUGCUGCUGUUAGAUGAUUCAAGGACGUUUGGCGAUUGAUUGUUGUAAUGAUGCCCCGGCUUACAAAUGCUCCCCUUUUCUUGAGUGACGAAGGAUGAUUGGAGAUGCCUGGUAUUUAAAGAAGAGAAGAACAGCUAAGGAUCGAAAAAUGGAAGUUUCUGUAAAAGAUUGCAGAAGCAUCUGGUCUCGCCCAGAGCUCUCUCGAAACCGGGCCUUGCUCUCCCGAAACUUCUGGUCUGUAAGUCUGGAGAUGUCUCGAGACAGGCCCAUAACUAUUGCUUGACCGGGUUGGACGAUGAUUAACCCCAAUUAUCAGAAGCAACUGGAGCUAAAUUUCCAUGUAAGUCUCAUUAUAGUAUUUUAAUUAUGAAAUAAAAUAGAAUAAAAAAAUUAUAUGUGUGGUUGAUAUUUAAUUGACUUCAUUCAUAAAAUUCUUUAAUAUAAUAUAUAAACAAAUAUAUAAAUAUAUAUAUAUCAAUAUCUAUUAAAGGUAUACAAAAGAAUCGGGAACCGUCCAAACUAUCCAGAACCGAAUUGGACCGGAUUAAAACUAGCGAUUCCCAAGGGAACUAAUAUAGUUUUUUGUUCUAAUUUAUUGGAAUCGGUGGAUAUCGAUUGGGUUCUCGAUUUUAAGUGUAGAAUCGUCCACUCGCCUACUCAAAUCGAAUUAGUAAUAUAGAAAUAUAUAUUUAAUUUUUAAGAAAAAUUUCUGACAAAUUAUUUAAGAAAAAUAAAAACCAUAAAAUCCCUAAUCUAAAGAUUAAUACCUAUUAACUAAGUGCUCAUCUCGUCUCACUCUCACCUCUUUUGAGUCAUCUUUCUAUCUUUCACUCAUGUCCUUGACUCUUAAUUUUUAAUAUAAGUCCAAUUUUUUUUAUUGAUCUUGCAAUUAAGAAUAAGAAAGUUCUUUAUUUUUUUGCCUUACUUUGACUUGUUGGAAAAUGUUGCACCAAAUGUGUGAAGCUUGUUUGGAACCCACCCAAGAACUAGAUCGGACCAAUGGUCCAAUUCUCUAUUCUAAUUUUUCAAAAUCGAUUUUUAGUGGGUAACUCCCGAUUCUAGGGGGAAAAUGGGAAAAUUAUCCAAAAAGUCUCAAACAUAUUGCAAUUAUAUUGAUUCAAUCACAAACUUAUUAUUUUGGUCAAUUGAAUCAUAAACCUUUUAUAAUUAUGUCAAUUGGAUUUUCUUUUACCAAAUUUGGUUGAUUGGCUUCGAUGAACAAUUUUUUAAUCUUUUCUUCUUUCUUAUCCUUUCUUUUUUUUCUCUCUCUUUGUUUCUUCCUCCUCCUUCUUCCUCCUUCCGACGACCUGCCAAAUGGGACGCCGAUUGAGGCAACUAGCGUGGUGAACUCACCUCUCUGUCGUUGGGUGAGGGUGAGCUCGCCUAACUAGGCCCUCGCUGGAUCUAGUGAGGGUGAGCUCGCCCAGUGAUUAGGGAAGGCAAGCCUUGGUAGAUUUAGCAAGAGUGAGCCUCGCCAAUGGAUCGACAAGCUUGACCUCAUUGUCGUCAGGCUAGGACAAACUCGCCCAACCACUGGGGAGGGUGAUCUGGUCAAAGACGAGCUCGCCAAUGGAUCUGCUGGUGGAUUCUUGCUCUUCACUAGUUGGGGCUUUAGGAAAAAGUUGCAUGGGAUGGAUUAUCAGGACCCAUCCGAUUCCCCUCCCCUGAACUCCUGAUGGUUACUAGAAUUGAACCCGCCUCCAUCAAUUACACGGUUUAGCUUAGUAGAGAAUGUGCGAGUGUUUGAAUGUGCGGUAAACGUCUGAGGUUGGUCGUGGGAUUUUGUAAACCACACCAAUCAAAUGCACCGUUGCUACAAUGAAAUCUGCAUUGCAUGACAUAUCCAACAACCAUAUGAGAUAGCCCUCCAGAGGAAGUUUUUUCAUUGCAACUAGUGUCAACUAAAUUAGCAUAGCAGCAGCUUUCGAACAAACAGUGAUCUUCAUAUUUGGCUAAAGGCCCUUACAACAACUAAAAAUCGAUGACUAACACGGUACUGCUCCGGUACCAAGUGUUAUAUAUAGCUCAAUCGAAUCCAGAUCAGGCAACCCAGAGAUGGAAUACUGCAAAACCCAUCAAAGUUAUUCAUAUUCAAGCGCCACAUUGGCGCUUGAUUACAGAGAUGAUUACAACGGCACACGACACACAACAGCUUCUUAACGAAAGAAAACAAUCCAAAAUUGUAGUUUUUCACGAAAAUCUGAACAUUAUUGGACAGAGAACCGCUCAUUCCUGCAACCACAAAGAAGCUGGAUUCAACCAGAGAUCUCAAUGGCCUUGACCUCAGGCUUCCUCUCCUCCACCUUGGGAACAGUGACGGUGAGCACCCCGUUCUCCAUCGAGGCCUUCACCUGAUCCAUCUUCGCAUUCUCGGGCAGCCUGAACCUCCUCAUGAACUUCCCGCUGCUUCUCUCGACCCGGUGCCAG
rnacentral:lncRNA from 1 species